rnacentral:rRNA from 1 species
UACGUAGGGUGCAAGCGUUGUCCGGAAUUAUUGGGCGUAAAGAGCUCGUAGGCGGUCUGUCACGUCUGCUGUGAAAACUCGGGGCUUAACCCCGGGCCUGCAGUGGGUACGGGCAGACUAGAGUGCGGUAGGGGAGACUGGAAUUCCUGGUGUAGCGGUGAAAUGCGUAGAUAUCGUAAGGAAGACCAGUGGCGAAGGCGGGUCUCUGGACAGUUCCUGACGCUGAGGCACGAAGGUCAGGGGAGCAAACGGG